UGACAUACCUUACUGUUGCCUCGGCGGAUCAGCCCGCUCCCGGUAAAACGGGACGGCCCGCCAGAGGACCCCUAAACUCUGUUUCUAUAUGUAACUUCUGAGUAAAACCAUAAAUAAAUCAAAACUUUCAACAACGGAUCUCUUGGUUCUGGCAUCGAUGAAGAACGCAGCAAAAUGCGAUAAGUAAUGUGAAUUGCAGAAUUCAGUGAAUCAUCGAAUCUUUGAACGCACAUUGCGCCCGCCAGUAUUCUGGCGGGCAUGCCUGUUCGAGCGUCAUUUCAACCCUCAAGCCCUCGGGUUUGGUGUUGGGGAUCGGCGAGCCUUUCUGGCAAGCCGGCCCCGAAAUCUAGUGGCGGUCUCGCUGCAGCCUCCAUUGCGUAGUAGUAAAACCCUCGCAACUGGAACGCGGCGCGGCCAAGCCGUUAAACCCCCAACUUCUGAAUGUUGACCUCGGAUCAGGUAGGAAUACCCGCUGAACUUAAGCAAAC
rnacentral:rRNA from 1 species